CCAAUGUUAACUCAUAUGACUUACAUCCUCACCUCAACCCUACACCCACAAAGUGUUCUACUUCCAGGAUUAAGGAAGAUGAAAAUUCCUCCCUCAAUUCCAUCUCUCCCUGUAACUCACUCCUCUGAAGCCCACUCCUGAAUCCCAUUCUAGACCUAGCACCUUUCAUAGCUUGCCUGGGUUUCCCCACCAUUCCCCAUCUUUACAACCUUCUAACAUAAUACUAGUGCUAGAAGAAAUAACUUUAACCUACUGACUGGGUCCACUACAAAGUUAGCUGAUUCCAAGUGUAUUCCUACUGCUGAAAAAUAUUCUUCCCUACUUAAGUCUCUGUCAUUAACCACAGAGCCUAUUAAAACCUCUCCUCAAUCCUCCCACAUUACUCUCAAACCCCAUCUCGGCAAAGAAUCCUUUCUCAUACUUACACCAUGAAAAGAAGCCAUUUGCCAUGAUCCCCUUUAACUCCUGCCAUACUUCUUAAAACCUUUUGACAACAUCCUCCAUUCUCUCCUUGACUCCAAUCUCUGAAAAGGCAAUCUCUUUUUAUAAAAUGUCAUUUAGUUAUCAAAGAGCGAAAGAAGGGUCUCUAUUUCACACAAACACAAUCAUGCAAAACAAACUCUCAAAAUACUCAUGUCUUAUCAUAAAAGCCUCUCAGUCAUGAGGGAGCCAGCAUUCUUUAACGGUCUUUUGAAAUUGUGGCUAAUCAGAAUUUUUAACUUCAAAAUUGUUCAUUUUCAUAAUGUAAAAUACAGUGUUCUUCCAGUUCUGCUUAUUUCAAUCUGUGUCUCUUUGAAAACAUCUUUUCCCCUCAUUUCUUACAGCAUAAUAGUAUUCCCAUACAUUCCUUUCCCGCAAUUUCUUCAUCAAUUCUCCAAUUGAGAGCACCCUUUUGACAGUUUUUUGCCAACAGAAAAAGAGCUGCUUUAAAUAUUUUGGUAUAUUUGAGACUUUUCCUCUUUAUCUCUUUGAGAUAUAGGCUUAACACUUUUAUAUCUGGGUCCAAAGACAUGCACUGUUUAGUAACUUUGGGGACCUAAUGCCAAAUUGCUUUCCUGAAUUUAGUUCUCCAACAAUACAUCAAUGUGAAUGGUUUCCCAAGUUCCCCCCACCUCAACAUUCAUUGUUUUCUUUAGGAUCUUUGCCAAGUUGAUGAGUAUAAAAUGAAAACUCAAAAUUUAGUUUGCAUUUCCAUAAUUAGAGAUUUGGAACAUUUUUUUCAUAUCUGUAUAGAUAACAUGACUUUCUUUGCCUGAAAACUGCGUAUUCAUAUCCUUAGACCAUUAAUCUGUUGGGGAAAAUCUUACAAAUUUGUCUUGAAAAUGAGACCUUUCUCAGAGAAACUUGCUGCAAAGAUUUUUCUAGUUGUUUCCCUUCUACUAUUAACUGUAUCGCUUUGGUUUUUUUGCAAAACCCUUUUUAAUUUUAUGUAAUCAAAAUUAUUCAUUUUCUGUGAUCCUUUCUAUCCCUUUUUUGAUUAAGAACUUUUUCCCUGUCCAUAGAUCUAACAGGUAAUGUCUUCCUUUUUCUUUACUGUGGUUAUGAUGUGAUCUUUUAUAACUAUAUCAAACAUCCUUUUGGUGUGAAGUAUUGAUCUAAACUCAAAUUUAUUUCACAGUACAAUCCAGUUCUUCCAGCAAUCUUUUAUCAAACAGUGAGUCCUUGCUCUAGUAUCUGGAGAGCCCUUCUUGCCAGCCUAUUUGUGGUCUUGAUCCCAUCCUCUCUCACCUCCUCCAACAAUUUGUUCUCCAAAUCAUCCACUUUAUUUUCCAUCUUUCCCUAUCUCUCUACUGCCUCCUUUCCAGAUGCCUGCAAAUCCAAGACUCCCCUAUCCUUUAAAAAAAAAAAAUUCAUUUUAUACUACCAUCCUUUUGAGCUACCAUCAUCCUUUAUUUAUUGCUCCUCUCUUUCAUAGUCAAAAUAAGAAUCGAUGUGUGUAUUUAUUUAAACUUUUCUCACAAAUGCAAUUAAGACAACUCUGAAAUACCACUACACUCCUCUCAGAUUGACUAAGAUGACAGGAAAAGAUAAUGAUGAAUAUUGGAGGGGAUGCAGGAAAACUGGGACACCGAUAUAUUGUUGGUGGAAUUGUGAACGCAGCCAACCAUUGUGGAGAGCAAUUUGGAACUAUGCUCAAAAAUUAUCAAAUUGUGCGUACCCUUUGACUCAGCAGUAUUACUACUAGGCUUCUAUCCCAAAGAGAUCUUAAAGGAGAGAAAGGGACCUGUAUGUGCAAGAAUAUUUGUGGCAACCCUCCUUGUAGUGGCAAAAACCUGGAAAGUGAGUGGAUUCCCAUCAAUUGGAGAAUGGCUGAAUAAGUUAUGGUAUAUGAAUGUUAUGGAAUAUUAUUGUUCUAUAAGAAACGACCAGCGGGAUGAUUUUAGAGAGGUCUGGAGAGACUUAGAUGAACUGAUGCUGAGUGAAAUGAGAAGAACCUGGAGAUCAUUAUAUACUUCAACAAUACUAUAUGAGGAUCAAUUCUAAUGCACGUGGUUCUCUUCGGCAAUGAGAGGAUCCAAAUCAGUUCCAACUGAUAAGUAUUGAACAGAACCAGCUAUACCCAGCAAAAGAACACUGGGAAAUUAGUGUGGGCCACAACAUAGCAUUUCCAUUCUUUAUGUUAUUGUUUGCUUGCAUUUUUGUUUUUCUUUUCAUGUUAAUUUUAUCUUCUUUCUAAAUCCAAUUUUUCUUGUACAGCAAAAUAACUAUGGAUAUGUAUACAUAUAUUAUAUUUAACAUAUACUUUUAACAUAUUUAACAUGUAUGGGACUACCUGCCAUCUAGGGGGAGGG
rnacentral:lncRNA from 1 species